rnacentral:rRNA from 1 species
GAUGAACGCUGGCGGCGUGCCUAAUACAUGCAAGUCGAGCGAACAGACGAGGAGCUUGCUCCUCUGACGUUAGCGGCGGACGGGUGAGUAACACGUGGAUAACCUACCUAUAAGACUGGGAUAACUUCGGGAAACCGGAGCUAAUACCGGAUAAUAUAUUGAACCGCAUGGUUCAAUAGUGAAAGACGGUUUUGCUGUCACUUAUAGAUGGAUCCGCGCCGCAUUAGCUAGUUGGUAAGGUAACGGCUUACCAAGGCAACGAUGCGUAGCCGACCUGAGAGGGUGGUCGGCCACACUGGAGCUGAGACACGGUCCAGACUACUACGAGAGGCAGCAGUAGGGAAUCUUCCGCAAUGGGCGAAAGCUUGACGGAGCAACGCCGCGUGAGUGAUGAAGGUCUUCGGAUCGUAAAACUCGGUUAUUAGGGAAGAACAAAUGUGUAAGUAACUAUGCACGUCUUGACGGUACCUAAUAAGAAAGCCACGGCUAACUACGUG